rnacentral:pre_miRNA from 1 species
GGUAACCUUAUUUUUCGUUUUUCGUAUCCAACGUUUAACCAUUCGUUUUAUUUAAAAAAUUUAUAUAAAAAUAUAAAAAAAUUAGUCACUUAUAAAGUAUUAUUCAUAUUUUAUCAUCUAGUAACAAUAAAAAUAUUAAUCGCAAAAAAAUUUCAAAUAAGACGAAUGGUUAAAUGUUGGACACGGAAAAAC